AUUGAACGCUGGCGGCAGGCCUAACACAUGCAAGUCGAGCGGAGCGCCGGUCGGGUGCGUAAGGCCUAGGAAUCUGGCUGGGAGCGGGGGAUAACGGCAGGAAACGGGCGCGAAAACUGAAUCCUAUUAGAAGAGCCUAGGCCCGAUUAGAUAGUUGGGGGGGUAAAGGCCUACCGAGGCGACGAUCCGUAACUGGUCUGAGAGGAUGAUCAGUCACACUGGAACGGAGACACGGUCCAGCCUCCUACGGGAGGCAGCAGUGGGGAAUAUUGGACAAUGGGCGAAAGCCUGAUCCAGCCAUGCCGCGUGUGUGAAGAAGGUCUUCGGAUUGUAAAGCACUUUAAGUUGGGAGGCGUUACCCACAGAAUAAGCACCGGCUAACUGCGUGCCAGCAGCCGCGGUAAUAC
rnacentral:rRNA from 1 species